NGAAUAAUAAUAUUGUUAUUUGAUUAAUAUAAGUCAUAGAUUAAUUAGUAUUAAUUUGGUGACUUAAAGAGAUUAAUUAAAUAAGAGGGUAUAAACUGUCAAUUGUUUGAUAGUUACAAUUUGGGUUGUAAAUCCUUAAGGGAUAAGGGUUGGGUGAUUCUAGGGCUUGGGAUAGCCUCAAAUUCAUCCAUGGCUUAUCUAUGGUAAGGAUUAGGAUUGCUUUGAAUAGAAAUUAUCCAACUAGGGUUUAAGGGUGAAACCCUAGGAGCUUUACAAGUAUAAAUAGACCCCUAGGGCAAGGGAAACCGGCACCUCUGCUAAAGCAAAGAAACCCUGACUGAUUUCUAGUCCCUCUCCUCUCUCUCAAAUCAUCCUCUUUGCCAGUUGGUGUUUGUAAGCCAUUAGAGGAGUGACAAUUGUGACUCUAGAGCUCCAAGACAACAAGAUCAAACAAGAGAUUCAAAGGUAAACUUCUAGAUCUGAUUUUGUAUUGUUCUUAUACCUAAUUAGUCAUUAGAAGUCUUGGAUUCAAAGCAUGUUUAAUUAGAGAAACCUAGAUCCAAGCAUUAGGGUUUGCAUGUGCACAUAGGGAUGUUCAUAUGGCCAAAACCCAUCACAUGCACCAUCGGGUCAAGUACAUACCAAAAAAUNACAAGUAUAAAUAGACCCCUAGGGCAAGGGAAACCGGCACCUCUGCUAAAGCAAAGAAACCCUGACUGAUUUCUAGUCCUUCUCCUCUCUCUC
rnacentral:lncRNA from 1 species